GUUGUGCUAAUAAAUAUAAGAUACCGUUUUAUUUAACCCAGUAGACAACGUUUUUGGAUUGAUUAUAGUAUAUUCUAUAUUUCUAGUUGUUAGUGAAAACCACACGCUGUGCACUUCGUGCGACUUACACAUCUGCUCAUCACUAAUUUAGAGUAAGGUGAGAAGUUUGCCCCGAACUUGGACUGGCAGGCAGGUUUGCCUAUUAGGCAGAUAAUAAAACACCUCUCCGAAAACCCGCCUUCUCAGUUACAUCACAAAAGAAACACGCCUUCUAAGGGCAAAAGCUGCCUGUUUCCACUAUCUCACAUUCAAACUGAAAACUACGUGCCAAGGUUUUGCAGCAGAACAGAGUUGGAAUGAAAAAGGUAGGAUGUUUUAUUCAUCUACUCAGUUUUUAGCA